rnacentral:rRNA from 1 species
UACGGGGGGGGCAAGCGUUGUUCGGAAUUACUGGGCGUAAAGGGCUCGUAGGUGGCCAACUAAGUCAAACGUGAAAUCCCUCGGCUUAACCGGGGAACUGCGUCUGAUACUGGAUGGCUUGAGUUUGGGAGAGGGAUGCGGAAUUCCAGGUGUAGCGGUGAAAUGCGCAGAUAUCAGGAGGAACACCAGCGGCGAAGGCGGCGCUCUGGGCUGGAACUGACGCUGAGGAGCGAAAGCGUGGGGAGCGAACAGG